GAUGAAGAACGUAGCGAAAUGCGAUAAGUAGUGUGAAUUGCAGAAUUCAGUGAAUCAUCGAAUCUUUGAACGCACAUUGCGCCCUUUGGUAUUCCAAAGGGCAUGCCUGUUCGAGCGUCAUUUGUACCCUCAAGCUUUGCUUGGUGUUGGGCGUCUUGUCUCUAGCUUUGCUGGAGACUCGACUUAAAGUAAUUGGCAGCCGGCCUACUGGUUUCGGAGCGCAGCACAAGUCGCACUCUCUAUCAGCAAAGGUCUAGCAUCCAUUAAGCCUUUUUUUCAACUUUUGACCUCGGAUCAGGUAGGGAUACCCGCUGAACUUAAGCAUAUCAAUAAGCGGAGGA
rnacentral:misc_RNA from 1 species